rnacentral:rRNA from 1 species
UACGUAGGGCGCAAGCGUUUAUCCGGAAUUAUUGGGCGUAAAGAGCUCGUAGGCGGUUUGUCGCGUCUGCCGUGAAAGUCCGGGGGCUCAACUCCGGAUCUGCGGUGGGUACGGGCAGACUAGAGUGAUGUAGGGGAGACUGGAAUUCCUGGUGUAGCGGUGAAAUGCGCAGAUAUCAGGAGGAACACCGAUGGCGAAGGCAGGUCUCUGGGCAUUAACUGACGCUGAGGAGCGAAAGCAUGGGGAGCGAACAGG